rnacentral:rRNA from 1 species
CUUUCCGUAAGGGAACCUGCGGAAGGAUCAUUAAAUAAUCAAUAAUCUUGGCUUGUCCAUUAUUAUCUAUUUACUGUGAACUGUAUUAUUAUUUGACAUUUGAGGGAUGUUCCAAUGUUAUAAGGAUAGACAUUGGAAAUGUUAACCGAGUCAUAAUCAGGUUUAGGCCUGGUAUCCUAUUAUUAUUUACCAAAUGAAUUCAGAAUUAAUAUUGUAACAUAGACCUAAAAAAUCUAUAAAACAACUUUUAACAACGGAUCUCUUGGUUCUCGCAUCGAUGAAGAACGUAGCAAAGUGCGAUAACUAGUGUGAAUUGCAUAUUCAGUGAAUCAUCGAGUCUUUGAACGCAACUUGCGCUCAUUGGUAUUCCAAUGAGCACGCCUGUUUCAGUAUCAAAACAAACCCUCUAUCCAACUUUUGUUGUAUAGGAUUAUUGGGGGCCUCUCGAUCUGUAUAGAUCUUGAAAUCCCUGAAAUUUACUAAGGCCUGAACUUGUUUAAAUGCCUGAACUUUUUUUUAAUAUAAAGGAAAGCUCUUGUAAUUGACUUUGAUGGGGCCUCCCAAAUAAAUCUUUUUUAAAUUUGAUCUGAAAUCAGGCGGGAUUACCCGCUGAACUUAAGCAUAUCAAUAAGCCGGAGGAA